AUGUCUAUGUGAAUGUGUAAAUAAUACCAAUAUACACAUUUAUAAAUCAGAACUUUCCAGGUCUAAAAAAUAGUCUGCUUCUGACAGAUCUCUUCCAGUCAUGAUCUUCACAGCAUGUCCUGUUGUACUGUGGUAGCAUUACCUAUUUCCUCACUCUUCUCUUUGCUCUGUUUUCUCAUCUUCUCUCUUUUUAUUUCCUCUGCAGUCGCAUCCCUGGAGAGAUCUGCUAGGAGGAGUGAUAAACUGAGAAACGAAAUAAUUAUCACAGCCUUCACAGUCUGAAGCAGUCUUUAAUGUUCACGUUUAAAACAUCGGCACUCUAAAAGCCAGGAAUAUGACGAUACAGUGAAGACAUCUACUCUUGCACUUUGCUACUCUGCUGCUGAGUACGUAUGCCCAACGUGGAACACAUCUCAUCACAUUAAAACAGUGGUUGUGGCUCUUAAUGAGACAUGCCACAUUAUCACAGGAUGUCUAUGCCCCACAACACUGGAGAAAUUAUGCUAUUUAACCGGUAUUGCACCACCUGACAUCCGCUGGGAAAUAGCAGCCAGCAAUGAACGGACCAAAGCAAUGACAUCUCCGGACCAUCCUCUGUUCAGAUAUCAGCCAGCAUGCCAAUGCCUUAGAUCAAGAAAUAGUUUUCUAAGAUCUACAGAGAUAUUCGCUGGAGCACCUCAGCAAACAAGAGUUCAAAAGUGGCAGGCUAAAACCUGGAACCUCAAUCUAUGGCUGACACCAGAUGAGAGACUCCCUCCUGGGCACACAGAAGACUGGGUGACUUGAAAGGCACUGAAGAGACUACGCUCUGGCACCACGAGAUGCAGAGCAAACCUUAUGAAAUGGGGCCACAAAGUGAAGUCCAUGACAUGCGAAUGUGGAGAAGAGCAAUUCACAGACCACCGAUUACAAUGCAGUCUGAGCUCUGCCACAUGUACAAUGGAGGACCUUCUAAUAGCAACACCAGAGGCACUCCAAGUGGCCAGCUACUGGCCAAAGAACUUUUAGUAUAAUGCCAAGUUUUUAAGUUUGCUUGAGUUUUUAAAUACACUACAACUAUACCCUCGGUUUGCUUCUGACACGAUAAAUAAAUCAUUCUUCUUGGCUAAA